CAGGCUGGCUGCCGGACGCCCUUCCUGCUCCAGACCCUCGGAAUGCACCACCUUCCCUGUCUUCAGAGCAGCUCCUUGAGGUCAACUCAUCCUCAUUCCCACGUUCGGGAAACAGAGGGAAGGAAACUGAGGCUCGGGAAGCCAGAUAAAUGACAAUCGUCACUUAGUGGCGUGGCGUGGGCUCAGGCCUGUUCGACCCACAACUUGGCAUAACCCGGAUCUGCCCUGCGGUGUGAAGAGACGGCUCUGGGGUCGGGCCUGUCAGGGUCCAAUCCUGACUCGCUCAUGGCUGUCACAUCAAGAUGUCACUGGUCUGUGCCUCUGUUUCCUCACCUGGAAGAUGAGGCAAUGACACGACCUCCUUACAGCUCUGCAAAGACACCGCACUAGCUAACCACCUUAGGCCGGAGACACCUGCUUUUCCUAAGUGUGAGACCACCUGGUCCCUGCGCUCGAGAAGCUUAGCAUCCAGGAGAGGGAAUGGCGCCAACCCACAGAGAGCCUCGUGAGUGGACUGGCCCACGGGAGGGGCUCGGUGAACGUGACCAAAGAGGACUGCACAAGGCACAGAGGUCUCAUUCGAGCUUUGCAGGCUCGGGGUUGGUGGCAAGUCCAGGGGACUGAGGCUCAGAGAAAACCAGCGACCUGUCCAAGGUGACACCACGUCCGGAUGCAGUCACAUCUGCCUUGUCUGCUCUUCCAACACUCACUCACUUGUCGGGCUCUGGUUGCCUGAAGACCUCCAGCCAUGCUGUUCCCUCUGCCUCGAGGGCUUGUCCCUUUUUUCCCACCUCCUUAUCCCUCAGACUGCGGCUGGAAUGUCACUUCCCUGGUCUGUCCCUCCCUCAUACCCAGAACACCUACUGUAGGACCGGUGCUGUUCCUGCCGCUGAUGACACAGCAGCGAACGGCACUGACAGACUCCUCUGUCCUUGAGGGGCUGGUGUCCAGGGUAGACCAGAAAACCCUGAGCGUCUUUAGCCAAGGGAACCGUCCCCCUGCAGAGCUACUGCCCCACGCUUGGGGGACACAAAUCGGCAAGAUAAACUUAGUGUAUCAUCCCAAUACAUCACUUUCUUAAAUUGGCCUGGGGCGGGGAAUCAUGGGGGCUUGUGGGAAGAAGCAUUAUCUUUUAUUUAAGCAGCACGGAUCCCUUAUGGGCUAGCCUCUCAGACGUCUGUCAAAUUUUUAAUUUGGGGAGACCCCUGAGGCUUCACCGUCAGCUCGCCCAGGCUAGGGGUGCUCUUCGUGGCUCUUUGGGGGAGAAGGUUGGAGACCUCACAUGCAAGGGAUGCAGCUGUCCUAGCCUGAGAAAGCCAGGCAUCUAGAGGCCUCUGGAUCCCUCUGGCUGAGCCCAGAGCUUCGAGGUCAGGAGGAUGUUGAGCGCCGGGGCUCAAGCUGGGGUUCUGCUCCUGCCUGCCGUUCAAGCCCUCACCCCUCUGGGUCUUCUCAGUCUUGUGGAUAAAGCGAUGCACUUGAACUAAAACUUCUUUGGGAGUCCAGCAGGCCCGAAAAACCUGUCUGACUCUAAGGCCAGAAUUGGUCGACCCGCUCAUGGGUCCCAUGCCACCUCCCAGACCCCUCCCCACGGUCUUCUCUCCCCCGCCCCACGCCCUGCUUCCCCAUCCUCACCCCCGACCUGGUGGUACCUCCUGCCGGAGGCCGACUGAAGGCAAAGACCACCCCAGGCUCAGAGAGGAGAAAGAGAAGAGGCAGGAGGAAGGUCACAUUUCUGACUUGGCCCACUGCCUGGUUUUCAUUAGGCCCACUGCCUAAUUUUCCUGGGCGGCACUUGCUUUCUUGGCUAGUCUCCCCUCUUUCUUAACCGUUUCAGAGGAAAGAGCUGUCACACCCCUGGCCCCCUUGCUGCCGCUGGUAUUGUGGCCUGAAGUGUUUUCCUGCUGUGUCACCUCUGUGUCUCUUGCUGCCACGUCAGCCACAUCUCCUGUCCCUGGAGUCCCCAGGCACAGAACAGCAGCUCAGAUGUACCCAGACUUGAAGAAUAACACUAAUUAUGGGCAUUAGCAUUUAUUGAGCACCUACUAUGGGGCCAGGCUCUGUGAACUCGGUGACUUCCUCCAACGACCUCAUGAAGUAAGGCCAUUUGAGCAAUGGGAAAACUGAGGCUCACAGUUGUUAUGCAAUGGAGGUGGGACCCUACAUCAGUGCCACCACCCACCAUGCCCUAGGGACUCCAAGAGCCUUCGAAUAUCCCUCUUCUGGUUAAGUGCACCUUUCCUCUACCCCUACACCCUUGUCUUCUGGAUCUCUCCCUGUCUGCUCCAGAAUGGGGAUUAAGGGUAAAGGCCAAAAGCCCAGACACAACGCCUUUGAGGUACACACGACCUGUUUGAAAGGUGAAGGAGAUGAGGUUGCUCAGGGAGGACUUUGGGGCCCCCCAAACCAGUUUCUGGGGCCAGGGAGGGGCUGGACCUCUUUCUGGGAGCAAGAUCAGCGGCAGGUGGCCCCAAGGGGAAAUCGAGUCACUGGGAAAGGAGGAGGAGCUUCACGGGGCCAAGCAGGGUGGGGAGGUCACGCUGGAAGCACGUCAUUCCCAUCAGAGGACUCCGUGGGUGUGGAGCGGGGAAGAGGGGCUUUGAACUCUGGCUGAUGUCCUAGCCAGGUGGGGGGACUGUGGCCCCUCCAUCAGAAGGGGGCGCGGGAACAGGCUGCUCCCACCAGCCGCAGUACUAGCCCCUUCCCCCCAGGAAGGGCUGCCCAGCUUUCCUGGGACCCGGCGCUCGGCAGGUACCAGUGGGGCUGCCCAGCUCCUCCGGCCAGGGCUGCGAUAAAAAUCCUGCAGUGAUCUGCGUCAGAGAGAGAGAGAGAGAGAAGGGGAAAAACACCCUCCAGUGCCUGACAUUCUUUUUAGGAUGCCCAUAAAAAAUAAUGUGACCUGUAAAACCGGCAAGCUGCUUCCCAGCCCGUGACACGGGGGCCCCCACGUCCCCACUCCCACCCCCCAGGUCCACUCUCUCUCCCUCGGGCCGAGGGCAUUACCCUGGGAAUCCCUGAGGGUUCAGGCCUUCAGAGCGCUGGGGACCCUCAGGCCGGGGGAGAGAGCAACCCCAAACCACUGUGGUCUGCCCACGUGGGGCCCCUUCCUCCACUUCCUCCUCUGCACCCCCGCCCCUUCCCGGGGCCCUCGGGUCAGCAGAGCUGCUGCUGCCAGGCCAGGGGGCGGGAAUGUGCUGGGACAGGUGUGUUCUGCUUUUGCUCUCUCGCUCUCCCAGGUGAGUCACCCCGUGGGAGUGUGUUGAUGAAUCCGAACCCGGGCUCUUUGUUUGGAGCUCCUGGGAAUUCGCGCACGGGGGCCAGACACCCGGGCCGUCUGCGGCCAGAUGGCACCGAGAGCUGGGAGUCGGGAGCUGGAGGUGCUGGUCCCAGUCUUGCCACCAGCCGGCUGCUCGAAAACGUGUCCGUUCGGAGACGAUUCGGGUCUGAGUUUCUCUACCUUGAAAAUGGGCAUAACAAUCGGGUCCUUUGUAGUUUUGCUAGAAGGCAAUAAAGCAGGUAUGUUCUAGCGAGGGUAGUUUCUGGGUUGGUGACGCUAACUGCCAUUUCCUGAGUGUCUACUAUGGCCCAGGCACUGAACCGGGGUGGUUUACAGUCCACUCUCCCGGCAGCCCGAGGGGGUCUGUGAGAUUACCAUCCCCUCUGCUAAAGGAGGGGAGCGAGGCUCAGAGAGGUUAAGUAACUCCCCUCAGGCCACAAGGCAUACACCCAACGGCCACCCACAGUAGGAAUUAAGGACAUCCCUGCAAAUACCAGGCACAGUGAUCACCGCCGAGCCCCUUCCCUGCCCUGUAGGUGAGGCCAGUCCAGAAUGAAACCAGGUGUUCCCCUCCCCGGUUUCCCCUAGGCAUGGCCUGCCCCUGCCAGCGGCCUAAUGGAAGUCACAGCUUCCUCCCAGUGCCCUGCCUCCCCAGCCCUGCCCCAACUCCCAGAGGCCUUAGCUUCUCCCAGCUCCCUCCCGUGGGCGGGCAGGGCUUAACGCGGUGUCCCAAAACCCAGAGAUACAUGCGUCAUGACUAGGGAGCCUUCCAGAUCUGCCUCCGGAAGGGCCCACCGGCCAGAUUUCCCAAUUUCCUGAACUCCACAUCUUCACCCUAGCCAGGGGAGUGAGAGCCUCCUUGGGUCCCCAAGGCUGUGGGAGGACAGACCCUGGGAACACCCUUCCUUGGUGGGGGCUGGAAAUCUGAGUUGCGUUCAUACUCUCCCUCGGGCACAUUUCCUGGGUUUCAUCCGUCAUUUCUGAAGCCUUCAGCUGCGCAGUGAGGCAAGGCUUUAAAUGCUCCCUCCCUGGGGCGCUGGGGGAGGCAGGGUAGCUCAGGCGGUUAAGCGUUGACUCUUUGAUUCUUGGUUCACAUCAUGAUCUCAUGGUCAUGAUCUCUGGGUCUCGAGAUCAAGCCCUAACUCUAGCUCUGUGCUCAGCAGGGAGUCUGCUUGGGAUUCUCUCUCUCCCUCUCUCUCUUUGCCCCUCCCACCUCCCUGCCCCUUGCACCUGAGCACAU